GCAUCGCUAGCUCAAUUGGCAGAGCAACUGACUCUUAAUCAGUGGGUUCUGGGUUCGAGUCCCAGGCGGUGUA
rnacentral:tRNA from 1 species